UACGUAGGAUGCAAGCGUUGUCCGGAAUUAUUGGGCGUAAAGAGCGCGCAGGCGGUCUAUCAAGUCAGAUGUGAAAUAUCCCGGCUUAACCGGGAGGGGUCAUUUGAAACUGGUAGACUAGAGUACAGCAGAGGAUAGUGGAAUUCCCGGUGUAGUGGUGAAAUGCGUAGAUAUCGGGAGGAACACCGGUGGCGAAGGCGGUUCUCUGGGCCUUACCUGACGCUGAGGAGCGAAAGCGUGGGGAGCGAACAGG
rnacentral:rRNA from 1 species